UAUAUACUCCCUCCGUCCCAAAAUACUUAUCUUAGGUUUUCUAGAAAUGGACGUAUCCAAAUACUAAAACGUGACUAGAUACAUUCAUAUCUAGACAAAUGUAAGACAAGAGUUUUGGGAUGGAGGGAGUAUACA
rfam:Hordeum vulgare subsp. vulgare, WGS project CAJW01000000 data, contig: morex_contig_95726